rnacentral:rRNA from 1 species
CCUACGGGUGGCAGCAGUGAGGAAUAUUGGUCAAUGGACGGAAGUCUGAACCAGCCCUGCCGCGUGCAGGAAGACGGCUCUAUGAGUUGUAAACUGCUUUUGUACAAGGGUAAACCUGAAUACGUGUAUUCAGCUGAAAGUACUGUACGACAAAGCAUCGGCUAACUCCGUGCCAGCAGCCGCGGUACUACGGAGGAUGCGAGCGUUAUCCGGAUUUAUUGGGUUUAAAGGGUGCGUAGGCGGAAUAUCAAGUCAGCGGUAAAAAUUCGGGGCUCAACCCCGUCGUGCCGUUGAAACUGAUGUUCUUGAGUGGGCGAGAAGUAUGCGGAAUGCGUGGUGUAGCGGUGAAAUGCAUAGAUAUCACGCAGAACUCCGAUUGCGAAGGCAGCAUACCGGCGCCCAACUGACGCUGAAGCACGAAAGCGUGGGUAUCGAACAGGAUUAGAUACCCUUGUAGUC